rnacentral:lncRNA from 1 species
CAGAGGUUGCCGCUGCCGGACUUGCGCCGGGCUCCUGAUUGGUCACCACAGCAUUUGCCGGAGCUCAACGCAUACACUUAGCUUAAGUCCGUGGCGAGCCACUGAUAUGCACUGAUAUAGAACAAUUCACAGGCAUGAGCAUCGUCAUAUUUAUUCAUUCUCGUGGUUGUUGGUUGAGUAAAUCCUUUUAAAUCCCUUUACCACGGUCAACAGCUUACGUGACGUAAAAUCACGUGGUGGGUGAUCAUGUACAUUUGACAUUGGUGGGAACCAUGGAAUGGGAACCAUAUCUGGAGGUGGUGGCUCAUUGCCAUUCUUUCUGACAGUCGGUUGCCAAUCUCCGUCAGGUAGUGGAAGCUUUGAAGCCGGUGGUGGUUGUUGAUAAUUUUGCCAGUACUGCAUCAUGUAUGGAACAAAUGGACAACAGAAGGGAUAAGGUGGCGGUAGAGCUGAAGGAGGCGGGGGUGCAGCUGUAUGCAGAACAUGAGGUGCUUGCUGUGGAAUGAUACGCGGAACUGAGGACAGAACAGUAUUACAAGACACUUCCUUUACUUUAGGUGACUUCGUUUCUCCGCUUAUUCUG